GAAUAUUUUUAGCUUUCAGGUGCCCCAAAAAAGGGGAGAAUAGGGAAUCGGGUGAAAAUCCCGGGCGGUCCCGCCACUGUAACGGGGAUUUCCUUUACAAAUUUGCCACUGGGAAACCGGGAAGGCGUAAGGGAAGGUGAACCGAAGCCAGGAGACCUGCCUGAAGAGCUUGAAUCCU
rnacentral:ncRNA from 2 species